AUACCAGUACUGAGUAGUGCUAUUUUGAUUGUACCAGUUGCCAUAGAGCUGCAUUUGGACUGCUACCCAGUUGCCAUAGAGCCCCAUUUGGACUGCUACCCAGUUGCCAUAGAGCCCCAUUUGGACUGCUACCCAGUUGCCAUAGAGCCCCAUUUGGACUGCUACCCAGUUGCCAUAGAGCCCCAUUUGGACUGCUACCCAGUUGCCAUAGAGCCCCAUUUGGACUGCUACCCAGUUGCCAUAGAACCCCAUUUGGACUGCUACCCAGUUGCCAUAGAACCCCAUUUGGACUGCUACCCAGUUGCCAUAGAACCCCAUUUGGACUGCUACCCAGUUGCCAUAGAACCCCAUUUGGACUGCUACCCAGUUGCCAUAGAACCCCAUUUGGACUGCUACCCAGUUGCCAUAGAACCCCAUUUGGACUGCUACCCAGUUGCCAUAGAACCCCAUUUGGACUGCUACCCAGUUGCCAUAGAGCCCCAUUUGGACUGCUACCCAGUUGCCAUAGAGCCCCAUUUGGACUGCUACCCAGUUGCCAUAGAGCCCCAUUUGGACUGCUACCCAGUUGCCAUAGAGCCCCAUUUGGACUGCUACCCAGUUGCCAUAGAGCCCCAUUUGGACUGCUACCCAGUUGCCAUAGAACCCCAUUUGGACUGCUACCCAGUUGCCAUAGAACCCCAUUUGGACUGCUACCCAGUUGCCAUAGAACCCCAUUUGGACUGCUACCCAGUUGCCAUAGAACCCCAUUUGGACUGCUACCCAGUUGCCAUAGAACCCCAUUUGGACUGCUACCCAGUUGCCAUAGAACCCCAUUUGGACUGCUACCCAGUUGCCAUAGAACCCCAUUUGGACUGCUACCCAGUUGCCAUAGAGCCCCAUUUGGACUGCUACCCAGUUGCCAUAGAGCCCCAUUUGGACUGCUACCCAGUUGCCAUAGAGCCCCAUUUGGACUGCUACCCAGUUGCCAUAGAGCCCCAUUUGGACUGCUGCCAAAAUAAAGGAAACCCCAACAUAGUGUCUUUAAUAGGGCACUGGGCACUACGAGCCAGAACAGCUUCAAUGCACCUUGGUAUAGAUUCUACAAGUGUCUGA
ensembl:lncRNA